rnacentral:rRNA from 1 species
UACGUAGGGUGCGAGCGUUGUCCGGAAUUAUUGGGCGUAAAGGGCUCGUAGGCGGUCUGUCGCGUCGGGAGUGAAAACUCAGGGCUUAACCCUGAGCCUGCUUUCGAUACGGGCAGACUAGAGGUAUGCAGGGGAGAACGGAAUUCCUGGUGUAGCGGUGAAAUGCGCAGAUAUCAGGAGGAACACCGGUGGCGAAGGCGGGUCUCUGGGCCGAUACUGACGCUGAGGAGCGAAAGCGUGGGGAGCGAACAGG